rnacentral:rRNA from 1 species
UACGUAGGUGGCGAGCGUUGUCCGGAAUUAUUGGGCGUAAAGAGCGCGUAGGCGGCUUGUCAGGUCUGACGUGAAAUUCCGGGGCUCAACUCCGGGCGUGCGUCGGAAACCGGCUUGCUAGAGUCUGGGAGAGGGAAGUGGAAUUCCUGGUGUAGCGGUGAAAUGCGCAGAUAUCAGGAGGAACACCGGUAGCGAAGGCUGCUUCCUGGAACAGUACUGACGCUGAGGCGCGAAAGCUAGGGUAGCAAACGGGCUUAGAUACCCCUGUAGU